GACAGAGGAUGCAAGCGUUAUCCGGAAUGAUUGGGCGUAAAGCGUCUGUAGGUGGCUUUUUAAGUUCGCCGUCAAAUCCCAGGGCUCAACCCUGGACAGGUGGUGGAAACUACCAAGCUAGAGUACGGUAGGGGCAGAGGGAAUUUCCGGUGGAGCGAUGAAAUGCGUAGAGAUCGGAAGGAACACCCAAGGCGAAAGCACUCUGCUGGGCCGACACUGACGCUGAGGAGCGAAAGCCAGGGGAGCAAACGAG
rnacentral:rRNA from 1 species